rnacentral:tRNA from 1 species
AUGGGGCUUUAGCUCAGCUGGGAGAGCGCCUGCUUUGCACGCAGGAGGUCAACGGUUCGAUCCCGUUAAGCUCCAUUGAUAACAUUAGUUAUCAAACUUGUUCUUUGAAAACUAGAUAAUAUCUUUUAUUUCUUUGUUAAUUAAAAUAACCGAAAACACCGGGUUUUAAAGAGUUUAAAACAUUAAUGUUUAAUCGCUAAACUCAUAACC